rnacentral:tRNA from 1 species
GCGGCGGUGGCGAAACUGGUAGACGCACUACUUUGAGGUGGUAGCGGUCGAAAGACUGUGGAAGUUCGAAUCUUCUCCGCCGCACAA